GAUGAACGCUGGCGGCGUGCCUAAUACAUGCAAGUCGAGCGAACGGACGAGAAGCUUGCUUCUCUGAUGUUAGCGGCGGACGGGUGAGUAACACGUGGAUAACCUACCUAUAAGACUGGGAUAACUUCGGGAAACCGGAGCUAAUACCGGAUAAUAUUUUGAACCGCAUGGUUCAAAAGUGAAAGACGGUCUUGCUGUCACUUAUAGGUGGAUCCGCGCUGCAUUAGCUAGUUGGUAAGGUAACGGCUUACCAAGGCAACGAUGCAUAGCCGACCUGAGAGGGAGAACGGCCACACUGGAACUGAGACACGGUCCAGACUCCUACGGGAGGCAGCAGUAGGGAAACUUCCGCAAUGGGCGAAAGCCAGACGGAGCAACGCCGAGGGAGUGAUGAAGGUCUUCGGAUCGUAAAACUCUGUUAUUAGGGAAAAACAUAUGUGUAAGUAACUGUGCACAUCUUGACGGGACCUAAUCAGAAAGCCACGGGUAACUACGGG
rnacentral:rRNA from 1 species